GACGAACGCUGGCGGCGUGCUUAACACAUGCAAGUCGAACGGAAAGGGCCUGCUUUUGUGGGGUGCUCGAGUGGCGAACGGGUGAGUAACACGUGAGUAACCUGCCCUUGACUUUGGGAUAACUGCAGGAAACUGGGGCUAAUACCGGAUAGGAGCUCCUGCUGCAUGGUGGGGGUUGGAAAGUUUCGGCGGUUGGGGAUGGACUCGCGGCUUAUCAGCUUGUUGGUGGGGUAGUGGCUUACCAAGGCUUUGACGGGUAGCCGGCCUGAGAGGGUGACCGGCCACAUUGGGACUGAGAUACGGCCCAGACUCCUACGGGAGGCAGCAGUGGGGAAUAUUGCACAAUGGGCGGAAGCCUGAUGCAGCAACGCCGCGUGCGGGAUGACGGCCUUCGGGUUGUAAACCGCUUUCGCCUGUGACGAAGCGUGAGUGACGGUAAUGGGUAAAGAAGCACCGGCUAACUACGUG
rnacentral:rRNA from 1 species